CUACGGGGGGCUCCAGUGGGGAAUAUUGCACAAUGGAGGAAACUCUGAUGCAGCAACGCCGCGUGGAGGAUGACACUUUUCGGAGCGUAAACUCCUUUUAUAUAGGAAGAAGAUGACGGUACUAUAUGAAUAAGCGCCGGCUAACUCCGUGCCAGCAGCCGCGGUAAUACGGAGGGCGCAAGCGUUACUCGGAAUCUCUGGGCGUAAAGAGCGUGUAGGCGGAUUAAAAAGUCAGAAGUGAAAUCCUAUAGCUUAACUAUAGAACUGCUUCUGAAACUCUUAAUCUAGAAUAUGGGAGAGGUAGAUGGAAUUUCUGGUGUUGGGGUAAAAUCCGUAGAGAUCAGAAGGAAUACCGAUUGCGAAGGCGAUCUACUAGAACAUUAUUGACGCUGAGACGCGAAAGCGUGGGGAGCAAACAGGAUUAGAUACCCGGGUAGUC
rnacentral:rRNA from 1 species